rnacentral:rRNA from 1 species
GAUGAACGCUGGCGGCGUGCCUAAUACAUGCAAGUCGAGCGAACAGACGAGGAGCUUGCUCCUCUGACGUUAGCGGCGGACGGGUGAGUAACACGUGGAUAACCUACCUAUAAGACUGGGAUAACUUCGGGAAACCGGAGCUAAUACCGGAUAAUAUAUUGAACCGCAUGGUUCAAUAGUGAAAGACGGUUUUGCUGUCACUUAUAGAUGGAUCCGCGCCGCAUUAGCUAGUUGGUAAGGUAACGGCUUACCAAGGCGACGAUGCGUAGCCGACCUGAGAGGGUGAUCGGCCACCCUGGAACUGAGACACGGCCGAGACUCCUAGGGGGGGCAGCGGUAGGGAAUCUUCCGCAAGGGGGGAGAGCCUGAUGGAGCAACGCCGGGUGAAUGAUGAAGGUCUUCGGAUGGUAAAGCUCUGUUAUUAGGGAAGAUCAAAUGUGUAAGUGACUAUGCACGCCUUGACGGUACCUAAUCAGAAAGCCACGGCUAACUACGUG